CCUACGGGAGGCAGCAGUGAGGAAUAUUGGUCAAUGGACGCAAGUCUGAACCAGCCAUGCCGCGUGCAGGAUGACGGCUCUAUGAGUUGUAAACUGCUUUUGUACGAGGGUAAACGCAGAUACGUGUAUCUGUCUGAAAGUAUCGUACGAAUAAGGAUCGGCUAACUCCGUGCCAGCAGCCGCGGUAAU
rnacentral:rRNA from 1 species